UCUGCAGAUGUCCUUCAGCGUGGCAGGUGAAGAGGACUUCUUUUUGGAAGAAACCAAAUUCAAGCAGUACUGUGAAGAAUUUGUUAAACAUUCACUGCAGAUAGGAGAUGGUUGGGAGUGGAAAACUAGCAAGGACCUUGGUGAUGGUUAUCUUAGUAAAACACACUUCCAAGUAAGAAAUAGAAACAUCGCACCACAUCUCAAGGAGAGAAACAAUGAUAACAUUGAACAAACGUUAUUUACAGGUGUUGAAGAGUCUUUGGAUGAUUCUCAAGUGGCUGGAGUUUGUGCAACAGAAGAAAUGAUUCGCUAUGAAUAUCAUAUCUUGUACUCCAGCAGCUACCAAGUACCUGUGCUUUAUUUUAGAGCAUGCUUUUUAGAUGGAAGACCUUUAACUCUGGAUGAAAUAUGGAAAAAUGUUCAUGCAUGCUACCAGGCUCAUCUGCUGGAGGGGCCCUGGGACACUAUUACACAGCAGGAGCACCCCUUACUUGGGCAGCCAUAUUUUUUUCUGCACCCCUGCCGGACUAAUGAAUUCAUGUCUCCUAUACUGACCAGUUCACAGAAACAGAACAGACACACAAAUUACAUUAUAUUGUGGCUUAGUACUGUAGGCCCAGUUGUGGGUCUGAAUCUGCCCCUGAGUUACGCAAAAGCAGCACCUAAACAGAAUACAAAUGCUGAUACAGUUGAAAGGCCUCUUAGCUGAAGGACAGAUGAUGGUUAGCUGAAGUAAAGCUAUUGCAGACUUCCAUUCCUAGGGAUGAAAUCAAACAGAGGAAUCAUUCCUGAAUGGUAAGCAACGCCGUGUGGAAAGGUGACUGUUCAUGGCUCUUUCUCUGACAAGACCUUGCCUGGCUACAGUGGAACACUGUCCUGAGUCGGGCGAAGUUGUGACAACUCUCAAGCACCACCAAGACAUGAACUCCUUUGCAGUUGCAUUGACCCUUUGAAGGCACUCACCUCCUACCUCUGUUUACUUUGGUUAUAGCUUUAGUAAGACUGCAUAUGAAUGCACAAGCCUGUGGUUCCUUGAUAGAGAUUGAGAUACGGGGUUUGGAUCUGCUGAAUUUAUCUAUGAAAAAUCACAUCUCCAGGAAUCAGCACCAUCUGUGAGGAUAUGUACAACAAAAUAUUUGUAGGAUGUGGUUUAAAUGUGUGCAAUCAGUGUACGGGCUGUGACUACCUAGGGACCACCUUCUCCACCACAGCCUGAUGCAUGGACCACCCCUGUGUUCCACACCACACACAGAAUAUCCUAAUCCCAGGACUAAGUAAUAUUUUUCUGAGAAUAUUUUGUGUAAGUCAUGCUUGAGAGAAUAAACAAGAUCAGGACUGUAGACA